CCAAUCAGCACUUCAGUAGUUGUACAAUUCUCAAAGUAAACUAUCUUUCCCACAGCUCAAGCAGUCUGUAAGACUUUGUUGGAAGAAUCUAUCCACGAUAUUAAGGCUUUUGGAUAAUUUCUAACAGCGCUCAAGUUUCCCUAUGUAUCGCGUGUGCAUGCAGAAUGCCACGAGAACCGUUAAUAGUGUGAAUGGCUGACUGCACCUGAUCGUGCCGAGACAUUCUUCUGGGCUUAGAGAGAAGUUUAGUAGAUCUAGAUAAGACGGAGAAGCGGUUCAAGACAACA